CGAAACCUGCUAGCAGAGCGACCCGCGAACCUGUUUGAACACCGGGGAGGCGCGCCUUGGCUCGCCUCCCCCUCGUGUCCGGCGGUCGCGCGCGCGCGUUUUCGGUCGACCAACGAACCCGGCGCGGAACGCGCCAAGGAAUACUGAUGCGAUGGCCUCYCCUCGCCCCCGCUGGCGGCGCGCGGGGGAAGUGCGCUUCGCUGAAAAACCACUCUCGGCAACGGAUAUCUCGCCUCUCGCAUCGAUGAAGAMGAAAGCAAAAWAAGAUAAUUGGUGUGAAUUGCAGAAUCCCGUGAACCAUCGAGUCUUUUAAAGCAAGUUGCGCCCGAAGCCAUUAGGCCGAGGGCCCGUCUGCCUGGGCGUCACGCAUCGCGUCGCCCCCCUUCGCCCCGCUAGCGCGGGGCGUGGCGGGACGGAUGCUGGCCUCCCGUGCGCUCUCAGCGGGCGGCUGGCCUAAAUGCGAGCCCGCGUCGACGGACGUCACGGCAAGUGGUGGUUGAAUCUCAACUCUCUUGGUGCCGUGGCCGAACCCGUCGCGCGCGUCGGCUGCUAGACCUUCC
rnacentral:misc_RNA from 1 species